CCUACGGGAGGCAGCAGUGAGGAAUAUUGGUCAAUGGACGAGAGUCUGAACCAGCCAAGUAGCGUGAAGGAUGACUGCCCUAUGGGUUGUAAACUUCUUUUAUAUGGGAAUAAAACGUUCCACGUGUGGGAUUUUGUAUGUACCAUAUGAAUAAGGAUCGGCUAACUCCGUGCCAGCAGCCGCGGUAAUACGGAGGAUCCGAGCGUUAUCCGGAUUUAUUGGGUUUAAAGGGAGCGUAGGUGGAUUGUUAAGUCAGUUGUGAAAGUUUGCGGCUCAACCGUAAAAUUGCAGUUGAAACUGGCAGUCUUGAGUGCAGUAGAGGUGGGCGGAAUUCGUGGUGUAGCGGUGAAAUGCUUAGAUAUCACGAAGAACUCCGAUUGCGAAGGCAGUUCACUGGACUGCAACUGACACUGAGGCUCGAAAGUGUGGGUAUCAAACAGGAUUAGAUACCCUAGUAGUC
rnacentral:rRNA from 1 species